AGCUGUUCAGUGGGCCGGUUAUGAUGUGUAAGCUUUGUCUGUUUUCACUGUGAGUGUCUGACUGUGUUCCUCUGUGUUGACACAGGUAAAAAGCUCAGCUGUUGGAAGGGUCAUGCAAAGCCUGUGAACACCGCUGAACCUUGAAACAAGACAUUGACCAGAGAC